rnacentral:rRNA from 1 species
CGUAGGGUCCAAGCGUUAUCCGGAAUCACUGGGCGUAAAGCGUGCGUAGGUGGCGUGUUAAGUGUGAUGUUAAAUCGUGUGGCUCAACCAUGUCGAUGUGUCGCAUACUGGCAUGCUAGAGGACAGCAGAGGCAAGUGGAAUUUGUAGUGUAGCAGUGAAAUGCGUAGAUAUUACAAGGAACACCAAUGGCGAAGGCAGCUUGCUGGGCUACUCCUGACACUGAGGUACGAAAGCGUGGGGAGCGAACAGGAUUAGAUACCCUGGUAGUCCACGCCGUAAACGAUGCAUACUAGUCUUAUGGGGUAUCGACCCCCUGUGAGACGCAGCUAAUGCGAUAAGUAUGCCGCCUGGGAAGUACGGCCGCAAGGCUA